rnacentral:rRNA from 1 species
AGGCUGCAGUGGGGAAUCUUAGACAAUGGGGGAAACCCUGAUCUAGCCAUGCCGCGUGAUCGAUGAAGGCCUUAGGGUUGUAAAGAUCUUUCAGUUGGGAAGAUAAUGACUGUACCAACAGAAGAAGCCCCGGCUAACUCCGUGCCAGCAGCCGCGGUAAUACGGAGGGGGCUAGCGUUAUUCGGAAUUACUGGGCGUAAAGCGCACGUAGGCGGAUCAGAAAGUCAGAGGUGAAAUCCCAGGGCUCAACCUUGGAACUGCCUUUGAAACUCCUGAUCUUGAGUUCGAGAGAGGUGAGUGGAAUUCCGAGUGUAGAGGUGAAAUUCGUAGAUAUUCGGAGGAACACCAGUGGCGAAGGCGGCUCACUGGCUCGAUACUGACGCUGAGGUGCGAAAGCGUGGGGAGCAAACAGGAUUAGAUACCCGAGUAGUC